rnacentral:rRNA from 1 species
CACUCCUGCGGGAGGCAGCAGUGGGGAAUUUUGGACAAUGGGCGCAAGCCUGAUCCAGCCAUGCCGCGUGCGGGAAGAAGGCCUUCGGGUUGUAAACCGCUUUUGUCAGGGAAGAAAAGGUUCUGGCUAAUACCUGGGACUCAUGACGGUACCUGAAGAAUAAGCACCGGCUAACUACGUGCCAGCAGCCGCGGUAAUACGUAGGGUGCAAGCGUUAAUCGGAAUUACUGGGCGUAAAGCGUGCGCAGGCGGUUAUGCAAGACAGAGGUGAAAUCCCCGGGCUCAACCUGGGAACUGCCUUUGUGACUGCAUGGCUAGAGUACGGUAGAGGGGGAUGGAAUUCCGCGUGUAGCAGUGAAAUGCGUAGAUAUGCGGAGGAACACCGAUGGCGAAGGCAAUCCCCUGGACCUGUACUGACGCUCAUGCACGAAAGCGUGGGGAGCAAACAGGAUUAGAUACCCGUGUAGUCCCAUG